rnacentral:lncRNA from 1 species
ACAGCAUCAGAAAUUCUCAUUCCUGUGCGUUCGUCGAAGAUGGGAGUCCCAUCUUCAUCUCGUUUAAUGGCAUGUUUAAUGGAUGAUCUAGAAUCAGCAGUGAGAUGUUUUUCCCACCAGGAAUGAAGCAUUCCUGUAAAUCCUGUGGAAAGUAUGUCAAUGAUUUCAGGCUGGGUGAAAUUAUGAUUAGUGACAUAGCUAUUAGUUGCCAUAGACAUAUGAUAUAAUUUAUUUAAGAUUUCUUGGUCUGAUAAAUUAUCAAUGUUCCAUUCAUAAGUUUUAUCAGAAGAAACUGAGAAUUGAUUAUUAAGAUAAUUAGUGGGUUGUAUAUCUAAGGGGAGAGGACGUUCUGUCCAAGUUUUAAAAGGUCGCUUCUUUGGACGAAUUAUCCGAUCUAGAUUUAAAGUUUGAAAUAUUUGGUUUAAAUCUUUAAUUUGGCUAGUGUUACUAGAAUCGCUAUCUGAAGAAUUGGAAAAAGAGGUUUGUUGGGUAUGAAUUACAGCAAUCCUACUGGGUUCAGGUGUUUCAGUUUUUAAGAUGAACUCAUUUUGAUUGAUAGAUGAACUCAGAGUUACAAACUUACAAAUUUAAAUUAAUGCAAAUGUAAGAGCAAGAGCUCUGUUUACAUGAGUAUUUUACUGGAGAGAGAAUGGGAAGAGAGGAAAGGAGAAGAAGAGAAAAAUGAAGCCUGCCUCACAAUGAAGCUGGAGGCCUCUAUAAAUAGAAAUUACAAAAGUGAUGAAUAAUAAAAAGUGACUGUUGGUGAAUAGUAACUUGUCUGUCACUGAGUAACUGUUGGUCAUGUGAUUUACUGUUGAUGAAUAGUGGACUGUCUACCAUGUGAUUUACUGUUGAUUUCGGUGGAAAAACUGACUGAGAUGGUCUUGACUGGAUUCAAUCAAACUCAGCAUAAGGGUCUUGACUAUCUUCAUAAUCUGCCCAUCUUUUUGGUUGAUUGGGGGAACUUUGAUGACUGUGUGAUGAUGAUUCUGAUGGAGAAUGUUCUUCUUCAUCAUCUGUAGAUAAAUUUGCUGCUUCUUGAAGUAAUUGCUUUGCUAGUUCUUUUAACUCUUC